rnacentral:rRNA from 1 species
GGCAGCACGAUGUAGCAAUACAUUGGUGGCGACCGGCGCACGGGUGAGUAACGCGUAUGCAACCUACCUAUCAGAGGGGAAUAACCCGGCGAAAGUCGGACUAAUACCGCAUAAAACAGGGGUUCCACAUGGAAAUAUUUGUUAAAGAAUUAUCGCUGAUAGAUGGGCAUGCGUUCCAUUAGAUAGUUGGUGAGGUAACGGCUCACCAAGUCCACGAUGGAUAGGGGUUCUGAGAGGAAGGUCCCCCACACUGGUACUGAGACACGGACCAGACUCCUACGGGAGGCAGCAGUGAGGAAUAUUGGUCAAUGGGCGAGAGCCUGAACCAGCCAAGUCGCGUGAAGGAUGAAGGAUCUAUGGUUUGUAAACUUCUUUUAUAUGGGAAUAAAGUGAGGAACGUGUUCCUUUUUGUAUGUACCAUAUGAAUAAGCAUCGGCUAACUCCGUGCCAGCAGCCGCGGUAAUACGGAGGAUGCGAGCGUUAUCCGGAUUUAUUGGGUUUAAAGGGUGCGUAGGUGGUUAAUUAAGUCAGCGGUGAAAGUUUGUGGCUCAACCAUAAAAUUGCCGUUGAAACUGGUUGACUUGAGUAUAUUUGAGGUAGGCGGAAUGCGUGGUGUAGCGGUGAAAUGCAUAGAUAUCACGCAGAACUCCGAUUGCGAAGGCAGCUUACUAAACUAUAACUGACACUGAAGCACGAAAGCGUGGGGAUCAAACAGGAUUAGAUACCCUGGUAGUCCACGCAGUAAACGAUGAUUACUAGCU